UGUGUGUGUGUGUGUGUGUGUGUGUGUGUGUGUGUGUAUAUACACACACACACACACACGCAUAUAUGUAACAACACACACG